CACAUCAUUAAGCCUCUUAUUUCUCAAUUUGUUCCCACGUCAUUUCUGUCACUGUCCCUAAAAUAAAACUGCCAUGGACUUUCAUUGGAACAAAUGCAAAAAAAUUUUUGUAAGUCUACUGGCAAAGCACACUGAAGAGUAAUGCCAACACUAUGCUUCUUCCUACACUACCAUAAGGACUGAUGGCAUUCCAGGAACGAUUAUGACCAAAGACUUUCUCAGUAGGGAGAGGAGGGGAAGUCUUCCAGUGGGAUGCUACAAGAAUCUGUGUGAGAUUCGGUUUCAUUUAACAACAUUAGUAGUGAAUGGAAAGUGGAGAUCCAGGGUAACUGCAUCUGUAUUCCCGCCUCGUGGUCCCUCGACGGCACUAACUCUAGGCUCCUGGCUGCUGAGCUGUCAUCUCUUUCCCUCCUGACUACAGGAUCUUUAAAGGCGGCACCAGUUCCUUGCCUAGACUGUGAUAUUCUCAGCAAGCCAGACUGCUUAAAAGGCCAGUGUCUACACUUUGCUUUCUCAAGGGCUAUGCCUAAUGUACUGCUCAAAGUUAUAAGUUACCACAGAGCUCUUUCU